GGCGCAGGCACUGUAACAGACAGGCAGACGACGGGCAGACAGGCUGAUUUGCUGAUUUGCGAUUCACGCCCGAGCCCGAGUGUAAAUAACAUUUUUGGAGGCACUGUUCAAAUGUUGCUUUUGAUAAAUAUGAUAAAUAAUUGUAAAUAUUUGUUGUUGUGCGCACGUAUGACACAGUAAAUACGUAGCCCACACAGUGUCAUUAUAUGACUAAAUAAAUAGAACAGCUCA